UACGUAGGGACCAAGCGUUGUUCGGAAUUACUGGGCUUAAAGGGUGCGUAGGCUGCGCGGAAAGUUGGGUGUGAAAUCCCUCGGCUCAACCGAGGAACUGCGCCCAAAACUACCGUGCUCGAGGAAGAUAGAGGUAAGCGGAACUUACGGUGGAGCGGUGAAAUGCGUUGAUAUCGUAAGGAACACCUGUGGCGAAAGCGGCUUACUGGGUCUUUUCUGACGCUGAUGCACGAAAGCUAGGGGAGCAAACGGG
rnacentral:rRNA from 1 species